UACGUAGGUGGCAAGCGUUGUCCGGAUUUAUUGGGCGUAAAGCGAGCGCAGGCGGAAAAAUAAGUCUAAUGUGAAAGCCCUCGGCUUAACCGAGGAACUGCAUCGGAAACUGUUUUUCUUGAGUGCAGAAGAGGAGAGUGGAACUCCAUGUGUAGCGGUGGAAUGCGUAGAUAUAUGGAAGAACACCAGUGGCGAAGGCGGCUCUCUGGUCUGCAACUGACGCUGAGGCUCGAAAGCAUGGGUAGCGAACAGG
rnacentral:rRNA from 1 species